rnacentral:tRNA from 1 species
UGCUUCUAUUGUUUAAUUAAGGUAAGACAGUGUUUUUUCGUAACAAAGAUGUGAGUUCAAAUCUCACUAGGAGUGU